GUGAAAACAAUUGCCAGGAACAGAGAUCAGUGCAGAGGAGGGACACUGACUGGUGCCAGCAGAGACAGUGAUCAGUAUUGAGGAGAACAGUGACUGGUGCCAAGGGCAGUGAUCAGUACAGAGGAAGGACACUGACUAGUGUCAGGGACAACAUACAGGAUGGUAUGAUUGAUCAUUAGUGCGUGCCGCUAUGUGGCACGCAAAAUAUCCAACUCCACUCGUGGAGGCGAGGAGGCCAUUGGGGCAGCCAGUGGAUCUGCAAGACCAUCAUGUUCACUGCGCCAAGGGAAAAAGAAAGAUGGUGAAAUAAAAUCACAACCACCUACCCUUUCCACCCCACUGACCUCUGACACCUCUGGAGAAUUCCAUAGUCCCCCCACCUCCACGUCAGGUGACCCGGUGCCUUAUUCAUGCAAGUAAAAAUGCCGGCAGUCAAGAGAAAGGCGUCAUGACCGUCUUGAUCCUUCAGUUCAAGAAAGUCCAGCAGAUGAAUGAUCUUCCUUCCAGAAGCCUCUGAUUACAGAGGGUGGGAGGGGGUGAGACAAGACCACUGCUGUGUUUUCUGAAUAAAGACGUGUGACAUGA